rnacentral:rRNA from 1 species
UCAGACGAUGCGUCAUGCAUAUCAAUAAGCGGAGGAAAAGAAACUAACAAGGAUUCCCCUAGUAACGGCGAGUGAAGCGGGAAGAGCUCAAAUUUGAAAUCUUAAAGGGUUUCCCUUUACGAAUUGUAGUUUAAAGAAGUGUUUUCUGUUGAGGUUUUGGUAAAAGUUCUUUGGAAUAGGACAUCAUAGAGGGUGAGAAUCCCGUAUUUGACCUUUACUUUCAACUUUGUGAUACACUUUCAAAGAGUCGGAUUGUUUGGGAAUGCAGUCCAAAAUGGGUGGUAAAUUUCAUCUAAAGCUAAAUAUUGGCGAGAGACCGAUAGCGAACAAGUACCGUGAGGGAAAGAUGAAAAGGACUUUGAAAAGAGAGUUAAACAGUACGUGAAAUUGUCAAAAGGGAAGCGUUUGACACCAGUGUUGUUUUUCUGAAAAUCAAUUAAAGAACUGUUUAUGCUAAGCUGUUUAGACUUUAUCAGCUAACUGUUUAGUUUUGAGCUUUUCUUUAAUGCACUUUUCAGUUAACAAGUCAACAUCAAUUUCUUUUGCUGUAAAAAAGCUUGAGGAAGGUGGCUUGAGAUUCGUCUUAAGUGUUUAUAGCCUCUUGCACCCUAUGCAGUCGGAGAGAUUGAGGUCUGCAGCGUAGAUCCUUCGGGGCUAAAUGCAUUUGUGCUAAGUUAUAGCAUUUUAUAGACAACUUGUUGACUAUGAUUUGUCUUGUAGCUUACUCGCUUAUGUUAUUUUACCUACGCUUAGGAUGUUGAAUCUGUGCGAGACUAC